UGCUCUUCUGGUGAAGGACUGGUGACAUGGU
rnacentral:piRNA from 1 species